rnacentral:lncRNA from 1 species
GUGCAGGCCCCCAAAGACCCCUCACCAGCCCGAACCCAGGCCCUGGAGGCUGAGCACCGCGAAGCCACUCAACACAGAGGAGGCCAAGAGGAACACGGCCAGAGCCCCACACCCGGUGGGGGGCUGCCUUUCCCAGGUCUCCUCGCAGUCCAUCUCCAGAGGGAUGCCACAGUCCUCAUGGACCCAGCUCCCCUCGACAUGGCCACGAGAGCUCAGGAUCUGACCCAGACAUGUCUCCUCUCUAGGGGACGGGCCCUAGCUGCGAGGAUCAGGACCUCUAAAAGGGAAUGACACAGGGACCUUACAGACAGUCAUAAGGUUUCUCUGGGGCAUGGAGUCACCAUACACCUGGGAGCGGCCUGGCCCGGGGCCGUGACCGUGACCGUGACCACCACAUCCUGGAAACCUUCCAUGUGAGCUUGGCACGUGGACAUCCUGGCCACACUGCUGUCUGAAGGCCCGGAAAUGCGCUGGACACUGACCCCACCCUGAGGAAUCUCCCAGUCUGGCCGGAUUAAGAGGAGGCAACGGAUCCUGAUAACAUCAGUGAGGGUGGGCGACUCCAUCAAGCCCCAGCCUGGCUCCUGCCUGAUCCGGAAGCACAUGACUGGAGCAAUCUGACCUGUUGUUGGCCCGACCCCAUCCCUUCUCCAAGAAGUCACCUGCCACCGCCCGGCGGCCCAAGGCAACAGACAAGCUUCUGCCCCCCUCACUCGCUUCUCGAGCAUCCAAAGAAUCACGUGGAGAUAAAACACCGGCCGACGAUGUCCAACAACCAGGUCGUCGGUUGCCUCUAUACAGGGCGGGGAGAGGGUGGGGUCUAGUCUCUUGGCUAGUUUCCCGCGUAACGCCCCCUAUCCUGCCCUCCACGCACAAAAAUCAGGUGUGAGCUGGAGCCGUGGGAGACGCGGCUGAAAUGGGCGUGAGAGUGAGGGGCCAGGAACGGUGUGCAGGUUAAGCGCGGGCGCUUGGCCGAGGGGACCGAGGCUGCGGGAGCGGACGCGCGGGGCGCGCUGCCAGGGUGCGGGAAGGCAGGGCUGGAGCGGAGCAGAGGGAAGAUGGGAGGGAUGCCGAUUUCGGCUGGGGGGGGGAAAGCCCUG